AUUGAACGCUGGCGGCAUGCUUUACACAUGCAAGUCGAACGGUAACACGCCUUCGGGUGCUGACGAGUGGCGAACGGGUGAGUAAUGCAUCGGAACGCGCCCAGAGGUGGGGGAUAACGCAGCGAAAGCUGUGCUAAUACCGCAUGUGAUCUGAGGAUGCCAGCGGGGGACCAGGCAGCAAUGUUUGGCCUCGCGCCUUUGGAGCGGCCGAUGUCGGAUUAGGUAGUUGGUGGGGUAAAGGCCUACCAAGCCGACGAUCUGUAGCUGGUCUGAGAGGACGACCAGCCACACUGGAACUGAGACACGGCCCAGACUCCUACGGGAGGCAGCAGUGGGGAAUUUUGGACAAUGGGCGCAAGCCUGAUCCAGCAAUGCCGCGUGCGGGAAGAAGGCCUUCGGGUUGUAAAGCGCUUUUGUUCGGAACGAAAAGGCUCUGGCUAAUACCUGGGGCUGAUGACGGUACCGUAAGAAUAAGCACCGGCUAACUACGUG
rnacentral:rRNA from 1 species